rnacentral:lncRNA from 1 species
AAAAAAAAAAUAAAUAGAGAUAAAUGGUAUAAAGAAUUAGAUAGGAAUGAAAUGAAGGACCCUCAAUCCAGACCAUCGGUAAGAAAGGUAGUUUUGUGAAAUGAUUCAUAUAUAAAAAUAAUUUAUACAGUCUAGAUCCCGCUAACUUGUUUAACCCCACCACAUUAUUUAUGUAUGUGUCUGUCCCAAGUCAGGAGCCUGUAAUUCAGUGGUUGUCAUUUGUUUAUGUGUAACAUAUUUGUUUUUCAUUCAUUUUUUUUUUUAACAAAUAAGGCCGUUUGUUUUCUUGUUUGAAUUGUUGUACAUCAUGUACAUUGUCAUAUCUUGGCCUUUCAUUGCUGACUAUAUAUGCGGUAUGGGCUUUGCUCAUUGUUGAAGGCCGUACAGUGACCUAUAGCUGUUUAUGUCUGUGCCAUUUUGGUCUCUUUUGGAUACAUUGAAGUUGUCUCAUUGGCAAUCAUACCACAUCUUUUUUAUAUAGAUGGGUUUUGUUCUAUUCUUACAUGUCUAAAUUUUAAGUCUGCAUGCUUAACCAAAAAUGUUAUAACUGGAAUCCUAGCAAAAUAAACUGCAUUCACAUUCGAAUACUCCAGGUUUACAACAAGAAAAUUCUGUUUGCAUAUACAUGUAAUUAUAUAAAUCCCCUACUUUCAUGAAAUUUUAUCAUGACCUUUUCUC